GCUGGGCGUGGUGGCACAUGCUUGUAAUCCCAGCAGCUCCAGGAGGCUGAGUCAGGAGGAUCACAAGUUCAAAGCCAGCUUCAGCAAUGGUGAGGCACUAAGAAACUCAGGGAGACCCUGUCUCUA
rnacentral:sRNA from 1 species